rnacentral:rRNA from 1 species
CAAAGCGUAUUCAAAUGUUGUUGCAGUUAAAAGCUCGUAGUUGGAUAUCAGACCAUGUGAAGUUGGCCCGCCGCCUUUGUGCGGUUCGAGUGCUGACGAUACUGGUCUUUCUCUUCCAGAGAGGGCCUCUCCCCUUAAUUUGGUGGUGGGGUUCCGGAGUCCGGAUCAGUUACCUUGAAUAAAUUAAGAGUGUUCAAAGACAAGCUUACGCUGUGAAUAUUUUAGUCAUGGAAUAACGACAUAGGACUUUGUUGUCUAUUUCGUUGGUUUCUUAGACUCGAAGUAAUGAUUGAUAGGGACAGUUGGGGGUGGCUGGUAUUAUACGGCCAGAGGUGAAAUUCUCAGAUUCGUGUAAGACCAACUCAUGCGAAAGCAUUCACCAAAGAUGUCUUCUUUAAUCAAGAACGAAAGUUAGGGGUAGCGAAGACGAUCAGAUACCGU